UCUUAUCCAGAGAGGUGGAGGGACAGGGCCCUAUGAAACCCGGCAACCAGUUAUAUAAGACCACGGUGCCAAUUCCUGCAAAGUAUAUCUUUGCGAGAUAAGA
rnacentral:ncRNA from 1 species